rnacentral:rRNA from 1 species
UUCCUACGGGGGGCAGCAGUAGGGAAUAUUGGGCAAUGGACGGAAGUCUGACCCAGCCAUGCCGCGUGCAGGAUGAAGGCGUUAUGCGUUGUAAACUGCUUUUUUAUAGGAAGAAGACUCCCUUGCGAGGGAAAGUGACGGUACUAUAAGAAUAAGCACCGGCUAACUCCGUGCCAGCAGCCGCGGUAAUACGGAGGGUGCGAGCGUUGUCCGGAUUUAUUGGGUUUAAAGGGUGCGUAGGCGGUUUAUUAAGUCAGUGGUGAAAGACGGUCGCUCAACGAUUGCAGGGCCAUUGAUACUGGUAGACUUGAGUUCGUAUGAGGUAGCUGGAAUGGAUAGUGUAGCGGUGAAAUGCAUAGAUAUUAUCCAGAACUCCAAUUGCGUAGGCAGGUUACUAAUACGAUACUGACGCUGAUGCACGAAAGUGUGGGGAUCAAACAGGAUUAGAUACCCGUGUAGUCCU